GUUGGAAACGACUGCUAAUACCGCAUACGAUCCAAUCUCGGCAUCGAGGAUGGAUGAAAGGUGGCCUCUAUUUAUAAGCUAUCACUGAAGGAGGGGAUUGCGUCUGAUUAGCUAGUUGGAGGGGUAACGGCCCACCAAGGCAAUGAUCAGUAGCCGGUCUGAGAGGAUGAACGGCCACAUUGGGACUGAGACACGGCCCAA
rnacentral:rRNA from 1 species